rnacentral:tRNA from 1 species
AAGUAAUGAAGUAAUAAUUACAUUUAGUUUCGACCUAAAAUUAGAGUUUUAUACUCCUUGCUUA